AUGUUUUGCAAUAUGAAUUUUGAUGAUUAUGGGACUGAUGAUGAAUCAACUUUGCCUAGAAGGCGUCCCAAGAAUUCGGAGUCGUUAGAUCUUAAUGGUAAAUUUGGUAAAAGAGAGAUUGGAGAAUACUCAACUUCUAAUAAUGUUGAACCUACUAUCUCGAAUUUCAAGGAAUUUCAUUAUGAUAAUUGUUCUUUAAAAGGUUGUAUUUCCUUGUUGCAAUCCAUUGUUAAUUCUCCUCAUGCUUAUAGUCAAAACAAAGCUUUUACCAAACAUAUUGUUGAUGCCUUGAUGCAAUCUUAUGAUGAAAAACUUAAUUUGGAAGUUUCUAUACCUAGAAAACUUAAUGAUGAGUGGGAACCUACUAUAAAAAUUAAAAUUAAAGAUUAUGAGUGUUUUGCUUUGUGUGAUUUGGGUGCUAGUAUUUCCACGAUUCCGAAAACUUUAUGUGAUAUUCUAGAUUUCCAUGAUCUUGAAGAUUGCUCUUUAAAUUUGCACCUUGCGGAUUCCACCAUUAAAAAGCCUAUGGGAAGGAUCAAUGAUGCUUAUUGUUGCAAAUAG
rnacentral:rRNA from 1 species